rnacentral:rRNA from 1 species
GGGCCCGCACAAGCGGUGGAUUAUGUGGUUUAAUUCGAAGCAACGCGAAGAACCUUACCAGGUCUUGACAUAUCGGGCAAAACCCUAGAGAUAGGGCAAUAGUUAUGCCGAAUACAGGUGGUGCAUGGUUGUCGUCAGCUCGUGUCGUGAGAUGUUGGGUUAAGUCCCGCAACGAGCGUCAACCCUUGUCUUCAGUUACCAUCAUUUAGUUGGGGACUCUGGAGAGACUGCCGGUGACAAACCGGAGGAAGGUGGGGAUGACGUCAAAUCAUCAUGCCCCUUAUGACCUGGGCUACACACGUAAUACAAUGGCGUAUACAGAGGGACGCGAAGCAGUGAUGUGGAGCAAAUCCCACAAAGUACGUCUCAGUUCGGAUUGUAGUCUGCAACUCGACUACAUGAAGUUGGAAUCGCUAGUAAUCGCGGAUCAGCAUGCCG